rnacentral:rRNA from 1 species
GAUGAACGCUGGCGGCGUGCCUAACACAUGCAAGUCGAGCGGCAGCGAGGGGUGCUUGCACCCUGUCGGCGAGCGGCGGACGGCUGAGUAACGCGUGGGAACGUGCCCCAAAGUGAGGAAUAACUGCCCGAAAGGGUAGCUAAUACCGCAUAUUAUCUUCGGAUCAAAGGAUUUAUCCGCUUUGGGAGCGGCUCGCGUCGGAUUAGGUAGUUGGUGAGGUAAUGGCUCACCAAGCCGACGAUCCGUAGCUGGUCUGAGAGGAUGACCCGCCAGACUGGAACUGAGCCGCGGUCCAGACUCCUACGGGAGGCAGCAGUGAGGAAUCCUCCACAAUGGGCGAAAGCCUGAUGGAGCAACGCCGCGUGCAGGCCGAAGGCCUUCGGGUUGUAAACUGCUUUUAUAAGUGAGGAAUAUGACGGUAACUUAUGAAUAAGGAUCGGCUAACUACGUG